UUAAGUUCAGCGGGUAGUCCUACCUGAUUUGAGGUCAAAUUCGUCAAAUGUUUUGUUGUUAUAAGCAGUUCUGACCAGCAUUAACCAAAGGCAUAGAUAGAUUUAUCACACCAAUAGCAGCUCAGAAUACCACUAAUGCAUUUCAGGGGAGCCAGCUUCAAUUAGAAAGAAAGCCUGCAAAACCCCCACAUCCAAGCGCA
rnacentral:misc_RNA from 1 species